UCUGAAAAUAUAAUAAUAAUUAUCAAAGAAAUGUGCAUAAGAGAUAUAAGAGCAAGCAGAGAUCAAAUUGGUUGCAAACAAGAAAGAAUGAAAUGGUGGAGGAUUAAGGACUUUAAUCUUCUGAGAUCAAAACUCAAACUUCUCAAACUCUGAAUUCUGAAAUUAAAGUCCAAAUUUUGAGAUCAAAGUCAGAAUCCUGACUUUGAUCUUCUGACUUUGACAUUUAAACAGAAUUAUCAGAAAAAAGUCUGAAUUGUGAGAAAAAAAAAUCUGUUUUUGAGAUUAAAGUCUGAAUUCUGAGGAAAACGUCAGAAUUCUGAGAUUAAUGUCCAAAUUUUGAGAUCAGUCAGAAUUCUGGGAAUAAUCUACUGAGAUUAAAACUCAGAAAUCAGAACUUUGAGGGGGGAAAAACUGAAUUCUGAGAUUAAAAUCAUAAUUCUUUUUUUCAGUGGCCCUCAUCUUCUUUCAUAGUAUCUUCCAUGGCUUUGCAAAAUACCCUUGAAUCUUUUCACAUUUUCACAAAUAAAAUGUAAAAAAGUGCUGCGAGUGUUUGUAUUCACCCUGUGUAUUUUCUUGCCAGCUUACACUGAUUGGCCAAUUUGUUUGGGUUCAUUAUUAUUGUUAUUAGAUACAAGCUGCAGUGUGUGUGGAAGACCUUCAUGCACCACCUGACAGGCGUCACUUGGCUUUUUUCUCUUCCUCUGGAAACCUGCUGACAGCAUGACAGGAACAAACGACUCCCAGGAGCUGAGGACAAAUUCAAGAACAUCAAGACAAAAGUUUCAAAGCUUCCUGCUUACUUCAGAUUUUAUCUUUUAGCCAGCAAAAGAUAAAAUAGCACAUCACAAUGUCCCAGGUGAAUAAAGGUUUUGCUGAA